rnacentral:rRNA from 1 species
AACAACCUUAUGUUUAAUCACAUUAGGUUGAAAUUAAAGGAAACACCAGGGGCCCCCACAAGCCGUGGAGUAUGUUGUAUAAUUUGAAGCAACGCGUAGAACCUUGCCAGGUCUUGACAUCCAACGACCGCCUAAAAGAUUAGGUUUUCCUUCGGGUCGUUGAGACAGGUGGUGCAUGGUUGUCGUCAGCUCGUGUCGUGAGAUGUUGGGUUAAGUCCCGCAACGAGCGCAACCCUUAUUACUAGUUACUACGCAAGAGGACUCUAGUGAGACUGCCGUUGACAAAACGGAGGAAGGUGGGGAUGACGUCAAAUCAUCAUGCCCUUUAUGACCUGGGCUACACACGUACUACAAUGGCUAUUAACAGAGAGAAGCGAGACCGCAAGGUGGAGCAAACCUCAGAAAAAUAGUCUCAGUCCGGAUUGGGGGCUGCAACCCGCCCCCAUGAAGCCGGAAUUGCUAGUAAUCGCGGAUCAGCAUGCCGCGGUGAAUACGUUCCCGGGCCUUGUACACACCGCCCGUCACACCAUGAGAGCCGGGGGGACCCGAAGUCGGUAGUCUAACCGCAAGGAGGACGCCGCCGAAGGUAAAACUGGUGAUUGGGGUGAAGUCGUAACAAGGUAACCGUAAAGGGCGAAUUC